AUGAACGCUAGCGACAGGCUUAACACAUGCAAGUCGAGGGGCAGCACAGGUAGCAAUACCGGGUGGCGACCGGCGCACGGGUGAGUAACGCGUAUGCAACUUACCUAUCAGAGGGGGAUAACCCGGCGAAAGUCGGACUAAUACCGCAUGAAGCAGGGGCCCCGCAUGGGGAUAUUUGCUAAAGAUUCAUCGCUGAUAGAUAGGCAUGCGUUCCAUUAGGCAGUUGGCGGGGUAACGGCCCACCAAACCGACGAUGGAUAGGGGUUCUGAGAGGAAGGUCCCCCACAUUGGUACUGAGACACGGACCAAACUCCUACGGGAGGCAGCAGUGAGGAAUAUUGGUCAAUGGGCGUAAGCCUGAACCAGCCAAGUCGCGUGAGGGAUGAAGGUUCUAUGGAUCGUAAACCUCUUUUAUAAGGGAAUAAAGUGCGGGACGUGUCCCGUUUUGUAUGUACCUUAUGAAUAAGGAUCGGCUAACUCCGUGCCAGCAGCCGCGGUAAUACGGAGGAUCCGAGCGUUAUCCGGAUUUAUUGGGUUUAAAGGGUGCGUAGGCGGCCUUUUAAGUCAGCGGUGAAAGUCUGUGGCUCAACCAUAGAAUUGCCGUUGAAACUGGGAGGCUUGAGUAUGUUUGAGGCAGGCGGAAUGCGUGGUGUAGCGGUGAAAUGCUUAGAUAUCACGCAGAACCCCGAUUGCGAAGGCAGCCUGCCAAGCCAUGACUGACGCUGAUGCACGAAAGCGUGGGGAUCAAACAGGAUUAGAUACCCUGGUAGUCCACGCAGUAAACGAUGAUCACUAGCUGUUUGCGAUACAGUGUAAGCGGCACAGCGAAAGCGUUCAGUGAUCCACCUGGGGAGUACGCCGGCAACGGUGAAACUCAAAGGAAUUGACGGGGGCCCGCACAAGCGGAGGAACAUGUGGUUUAAUUCGAUGAUACGCGAGGAACCUUACCCGGGUUUGAACGCAUUCGGACCGAGGUGGAAACACCUUUUCUAGCAAUAGCCGUUUGCGAGGUGCUGCAUGGUUGUCGUCAGCUCGUGCCGUGAGGUGUCGGCUUAAGUGCCAUAACGAGCGCAACCCUUGCCACUAGUUACUAACAGGUAAAGCUGAGGACUCUGGUGGGACUGCCAGCGUAAGCUGCGAGGAAGGCGGGGAUGACGUCAAAUCAGCACGGCCCUUACAUCCGGGGCGACACACGUGUUACAAUGGCGUGGACAAAGGGAAGCCACCUGGCGACAGGGAGCGAAUCCCCAAACCACGUCUCAGUUCGGAUCGGAGUCUGCAACCCGACUCCGUGAAGCUGGAUUCGCUAGUAAUCGCGCAUCAGCCAUGGCGCGGUGAAUACGUUCCCGGGCCUUGUACACACCGCCCGUCAAGCCAUGGGAGCCGGGGGUACCUGAAGUCCGUAACCGCGAGGAUCGGCCUAGGGUAAAACUGGUGACUGGGGCU
rnacentral:rRNA from 1 species